CCUACGGGAGGCUGCAGUGGGGGAUAUUGCACAAUGGGCGAAAGCCUGAUGCAGCGACGCCGCGUGAGGGAAGACGGUCUUCGGAUUGUAAACCUCUGUCUUUGGGGAAGAAGAUGACGGUACCCAAAGAGGAAGCUCCGGCUAACUACGUUCCAGCUGCCGCGGUAAUACGUAGGGAGCGAGGGUUGUCCGGAAUUACUGGGUGUAAAGGGAGCGUAGGCGGGGAUGCAAGUUGGGUGUUAAGACUUUCGGCUCAACCGGUAAUUGCCACCGAAACUGGAACUCUUGAGUGAAGUAGAGGCAGGCGGAAUGCGUAGUGUAGCGGUGAAAUGCGUAGAUAUUAGGAGGAACACCAGUGGCGAAGGCAGCCUGCUGGGGUUUGACUGACGCUGAGGCUCGAAGGCGUGGGGAGCAAACAGGAUUAGAUACCCGUGUAGUC
rnacentral:rRNA from 1 species